AUGGUUAAGUUAGAAAGGGCGCACGGUGAAUGCCUUGGCACUAGGAGCCGAUGAAGGACGGGACUAACACCGAUAUGCUUCGGGGAGCUGUAAGUGAGCUUUGAUCCGGAGAUUUCCGAAUGGGGAAACCCACUGUUCGUAAUGGAACAGUAUCUUUAUCUGAAUACAUAGGAUAUUGAAGGCAGACCCGGGGAACUGAAACAUCUAAGUACCCGGAGGAAGAGAAAGCAAAUGCGAUUUCCUGAGUAGCGGCGAGCGAAACGGAAUUAGCCCAAACCAAGAGGCUUGCCUCUUGGGGUUGUAGGACACUCUAUACGGAGUUACAAAGGAACGAAGUAAAUGAAGCGACCUGGAAAGGUCCGUCAAAGAAGGUAACAACCCUGUAGUUGAAACUUCGUUCCCUCUUGAGUGGAUCCUGAGUACGGCGGAACACGUGAAAUUCCGUCGGAAGCUGGGAGGACCAUCUCCCAAGGCUAAAUACUACCUAGUGACCGAUAGUGAACCAGUACCGUGAGGGAAAGGUGAAAAGCACCCCGGAAGGGGAGUGAAAGAGAUCCUGAAACCGUGUGCCUACAAGUAGUCAGAGCCCGUUAAUGGGUGAUGGCGUGCCUUUUGUAGAAUGAACCGGCGAGUUACGAUCCCAUGCAAGGUUAAGCUGAUAAGGCGGAGCCGUAGCGAAAGCGAGUCUGAAUAGGGCGUUUAGUAUGUGGUUGUAGACCCGAAACCAGGUGAUCUACCCAUGUCCAGGGUGAAGUUCAGGUAACACUGAAUGGAGGCCCGAACCCACGCACGUUGAAAAGUGCGGGGAUGAGGUGUGGGUAGCGGAGAAAUUCCAAUCGAACCUGGAGAUAGCUGGUUCUCUCCGAAAUAGCUUUAGGGCUAGCCUCAUGUUGUGAGAGUCUUGGAGGUAGAGCACUGAUUGGACUAGGGGCCCCCAACGGGUUACCGAAUUCAGUCAAACUCCGAAUGCCAAAGACUUAUCCAUGGGAGUCAGACUGCGAGUGAUAAGAUCCGUAGUCAAAAGGGAAACAGCCCAGACCACCAGCUAAGGUCCCCAAGUAUACGUUAAGUGGAAAAGGAUGUGGAGUUGCUUAGACAACCAGGAUGUUGGCUUAGAAGCAGCCACCAUUUAAAGAGUGCGUAAUAGCUCACUGGUCGAGUGACUCUGCGCCGAAAAUGUACCGGGGCUAAACGUAUCACCGAAGCUGUGGAUUGACAUCUUUGAUGUCAGUGGUAGGAGAGCGUUCUAAGUGCUGUGAAGUCAGACCGUAAGGACUGGUGGAGCGCUUAGAAGUGAGAAUGCCGGUAUGAGUAGCGAAAGACAAGUGAGAAUCUUGUCCACCGAAUGCCUAAGGUUUCCUGAGGAAGGCUCGUCCGCUCAGGGUUAGUCGGGACCUAAGCCGAGGCUGAAAAGCGUAGGCGAUGGCCAACAGGUUGAUAUUCCUGUACCACCUCCCCGCCGUUUGAGUAAUGGGGGGACGCAGUAGGAUAGGGUAAGCGCGCUGCUGGAUAUGCGCGUUCAAGCAGUUAGGCUGAUGAGUAGGCAAAUCCGCUCAUCAUAAAGGCUGAGCUGUGAUGACGAGGGAAUUAUAGUACCGAAGUUCCUGAUUCCACACUGCCAAGAAAAGCCUCUAGCGAGGCGGGAGGUGCCCGUACCGCAAACCGACACAGGUAGGCGAGGAGAGAAUCCUAAGGUGAUCGAGAGAACUCUCGUUAAGGAACUCGGCAAAAUGACCCCGUAACUUCGGGAGAAGGGGUGCUCUGGUAGGGUGUAUAGCCCGAGAGAGCCGCAGUGAAUAGGCCCAGGCGACUGUUUAGCAAAAACACAGGUCUCUGCGAAGCCGCAAGGCGAAGUAUAGGGGCUGACGCCUGCCCGGUGCUGGAAGGUUAAGAGGAGGGGUUAUCCUUUGGGAGAAGCUCUGAAUCGAAGCCCCAGUAAACGGCGGCCGUAACUAUAACGGUCCUAAGGUAGCGAAAUUCCUUGUCGGGUAAGUUCCGACCCGCACGAAAGGCGUAACGAUCUGGGCACUGUCUCAACGAGAGACUCGGUGAAAUUAUAGUACCUGUGAAGAUGCAGGUUACCCGCGACAGGACGGAAAGACCCCGUGGAGCUUUACUGUAGCCUGAUAUUGAAUUUUGGUACAGCUUGUACAGGAUAGGUAGGAGCCUAAGAAGCCGGAGCGCUAGCUUCGGUGGAGGCGUCGGUGGGAUACUACCCUGGCUGUAUUGAAAUUCUAACCCGCGGCCCUGAUCGGGCCGGGAGACAGUGUCAGGUGGGCAGUUUGACUGGGGCGGUCGCCUCCUAAAAUGUAACGGAGGCGCCCAAAGGUUCCCUCAGAAUGGUUGGAAAUCAUUCGUAGAGUGUAAAGGCACAAGGGAGCUUGACUGCGAGACCUACAAGUCGAGCAGGGACGAAAGUCGGGCUUAGUGAUCCGGUGGUUCCGCAUGGAAGGGCCAUCGCUCAACGGAUAAAAGCUACCCCGGGGAUAACAGGCUUAUCUCCCCCAAGAGUCCACAUCGACGGGGAGGUUUGGCACCUCGAUGUCGGCUCAUCGCAUCCUGGGGCUGUAGUCGGUCCCAAGGGUUGGGCUGUUCGCCCAUUAAAGCGGUACGCGAGCUGGGUUCAGAACGUCGUGAGACAGUUCGGUCCCUAUCCGUCGUGGGCGUAGGAAAUUUGAGAGGAGCUGUCCUUAGUACGAGAGGACCGGGAUGGACACACCGCUGGUGUACCAGUUGUCUUGCCAAAGGCAUCGCUGGGUAGCUAUGUGUGGACGGGAUAAGUGCUGAAAGCAUCUAAGCAUGAAGCCCCCCUCAAGAUGAGAUUUCCCAUAGCGCAAGCUAGUAAGAUCCCUGAAAGAUGAUCAGGUUGAUAGGUCAGAGGUGGAAGCGUGGCGACAUGUGUAGCUGACUGAUACUAAUCGAUCGAGGACUUAACCAAA
rnacentral:rRNA from 1 species